GAUGAACGCUGGCGGCGUGCCUAAUACAUGCGAGUCGAGCGAACAGACGAGGAGCUUGCUCCUCUGACGUUAGCGGCGGACGGGUGAGUAACACGUGGAUAACCUACCUAUAAGACUGGGAUAACUUCGGGAAACCGGAGCUAAUACCAGAUAAUAUAUUGAACCGCAUGGUUCAAUAGUGAAAGACGGUUUUGCUGUCACUUAUAGAUGGAUCCGCGCCGCAUUAGCUAGUUGGUAAGGUAACGGCUUACCAAGGCAACGAUGCGUAGCCGACCUGAGAGGGUGAUCGGCCACACUGGAACUGAGACACGGUCCAGACUCCUACGGGAGGCAGCAGUAGGGAAUCUUCCGCAAUGGGCGAAAGCCUGACGGAGCAACGCCGCGUGAGUGAUGAAGGUCUUCGGAUCGUAAAACCCUGUUAUUAGGGAAGAACAAAUGUGUAAGUAACUAUGCACGUCUUGACGGUACCUAAUCAGAAAGCCACGGCUAACUACGUG
rnacentral:rRNA from 1 species